CGCGUAGGCGGAUUAGUCAGUUGGGGGUGAAAGCCCGGAGCUCAACUCCGGAAUUGCCUUCAAUACUGCUAGUCUUGAGUCCGAGAGAGGGUGGUGGAAUUCCCAGUGUAGAGGUGAAAUUCGUAGAUAUUGGGAAGAACACCAGUGGCGAAGGCGGCCACCUGGCUCGGUACUGACGCUGAGGUGCGAAAGCGUGGGGAGCAAACA
rnacentral:rRNA from 1 species